rnacentral:rRNA from 1 species
AUUGAACGCUGGCGGCAUGCUUUACACAUGCAAGUCGAACGGUAACAGGGUGCUUGCACCGCUGACGAGUGGCGAACGGGUGAGUAAUGCGUCGGAACGUGCCGAGUAGUGGGGGAUAACGCAUCGAAAGGUGUGCUAAUACCGCAUACGUACUGAGGUAGAAAGUGGGGGACCUUCGGGCCUCACGCUAUUCGAGCGGCCGACGUCUGAUUAGCUAGUUGGUGAGGUAAAGGCUCGCCAAGGCGACGAUCAGUAGCGGGUCUGAGAGGAUGAUCCGCCACACGGGGACUGAGACACGGCCCAGCCUCCUACGGGAGGCAGCAGUGGGGAAUUUUGGACAAUGUGCGCAAGCCUGAUCCAGCCAUGCCGCGUGUCUGAAGAAGGCCUUCGGGUUGUAAAGGACUUUUGUCCGGGAGCAAAUGCCUGGUGUUAAUAGCACUGGGAGCUGAGAGUACCGGAAGAAUAAGCACCGGCUAACUACGUGCCAGCCGCCGCCGUAAAAC